GGAAGAACUGUAGCUCAGUGGUAGAGCAUUUGCCUUGCAUGCACAAAGUCCCAGUUCAAUCAAUGGGAUCUCCA